UACGGGGGGGGCAAGCGUUGUUCGGAAUUACUGGGCGUAAAGGGCUCGUAGGCGGCCAACUAAGUCAGACGUGAAUCCCCCGGCUUAACCAGGGAACUGCGUCUGAUACUGGAUGGCUUGAGUUUGGGAGAGGGAUGCGGAAUUCCAGGUGUAGCGGUGAAAUGCGUAGAUAUCUGGAGGAACACCGGUGGCGAAGGCGACAUCCUGGACCAACACUGACGCUGAGUGAGCGAAAGCCAGGGGAGCAAACGGG
rnacentral:rRNA from 1 species